CCUACGGAGUGCAGCAGUGGGGAAUAUUGGACAAUGGGCGAAAGCCUGAUCCAGCCAUGCCGCGUGUGUGAAGAAGGCCUUCGGGUUGUAAAGCACUUUCAGUGGGGAAGAAAGCCUUGGGGCUAAUACCCUCGAGGAAGGACAUCACCCACAGAAGAAGCACCGGCUAACUCCGUGCCAGCAGCCGCGGUAAUACGGAGGGUGCGAGCGUUAAUCGGAAUUACUGGGCGUAAAGCGCGCGUAGGCGGUCUGAUAAGCCGGUUGUGAAAGCCCCGGGCUCAACCUGGGAACGGCAUCCGGAACUGUCAGGCUAGAGUGCAGGAGAGGAAGGUAGAAUUCCCGGUGUAGCGGUGAAAUGCGUAGAGAUCGGGAGGAAUACCAGUGGCGAAGGCGGUCUUCUGGACUGACACUGACGCUGAGGUGCGAAAGCGUGGGUAGCAAACAGGAUUAGAUACCCUGGUAGUC
rnacentral:rRNA from 1 species